CCCAAUUAAACACUAACCAACACAAACGGAAAAGGAAUCGAUGGCAGCUAAUAGGCCGGUGACGACGACCGAACAGGAAGAGGCACCCUCUUCAGCGAGCUCCUGCUGGAAGAGUGGAUCCACAGACACGGAUGAUGAGAACAGACGUGUUAAUGUUCAGAGCGGAGGCGCAGGCUGGGCAGGACGUGGGGGUAAUAGGGUGUGUGUCGGGGCCUUAACUGGCAGCGACAGCUAGCUCUUUGAAAGAAGCGAGCAUACAGGCUGGCAGCUCAUCGCCAGUUCACCCUAUGGGCACAAGGGAGAAUUCGAUGAGGUGUACGGCGUGUCAUCCCUGCGCGUGCUGUCUCUUCCACAAGGGACACAAACCCAGAAUCAAGUGGCAUCGACAUAGG